UUUAACGGCCGCGGUAUUUUGACCGUGCAAAGGUAGCGCAAUCACUUGUCUUUUAAAUGAAGACCUGUAUGAAUGGCUUGACGAGGGCUUAACUGUCUCCUUUUUCCAGUCAAUGAAAUUGAUCUUCCCGUGCAGAAGCGGGAAUAUAACCAUAAGACGAGAAGACCCUAUGGAGCUUUAAACUAAAGCAGAUCUUGUUAAACGCAUCUAAUUAAAGAAAUAAACUUAAAAGAACCCUGUCAUUUAUGUUUUUGGUUGGGGCGACCAUGGGGAAACAAACAACCCCCAUGUGGACUGAGAAAACAGUUCUCACAACAAAGAGCCACAGCUCUAAUUAACAGAACUUCUGACCUUNGAGAUCCGGCAAUGCCGAUCAACGGACCCAGUUACCCUAGGGAUAACAGCGCAAUCCCCUUUUAGAGUUCAUAUCGACAAGGGGGUUUACGACCUCGAUGUUGGAUCAGGACAUCCUAAUGGUGCAGCAGCUAUUAAGGG
rnacentral:rRNA from 1 species